UACGAAGGGGGCUAGCGUUGCUCGGAAUUAUUGGGCGUAAAGGGCGCGUAGGCGGUGCGGUAAGUCACCUGUGAAAACUCUGGGCUCAACUCAGAGCCUGCAGGCGAAACUGCCGUGCUUGAGUGUGGGAGAGGUGCGUGGAAUUCCCGGUGUAGCGGUGAAAUGCGUAGAUAUUGGGAAGAACACCGGUGGCGAAGGCGGCGCUCUGGACCGAGACUGACGCUGAGGCGCGAAAGCGUGGGGAGCAAACAGG
rnacentral:rRNA from 1 species